UUCCGGAUGCUCGGAUGGGAAAGACGCCAGCAGGGGGCGCCACAGGGCCACGGCUCGGUCGUGCGUGCGCUAAGUCACCCGGCCGUGAGUUCCUGAGGUCGCAGCCGCCCCGCCUUGUUCGGGUUUCCGCGGGGCGUGGACAUUGGGAGGAUUGCUUCCCCUCUGCGAGUCCGCUUGAGUUGAGGACGCGAAGGCGGUCCAGCCGCGCCCCUGUGUAUUCUUAGCUGAGGAUGUCCCCGCCUAGGUAGGGUACGGUUUACGGCCAGUCCUCAACUCUGAAAAUGAGUGCGACUCGGCGUUUAAUAAAGGUAGCCAUGCUGAGCAGGGCUUCGGAGGACAGGCUCGGAAGGGAGUGGGCCGGGGAAGCCACACGCCCAGGAACCCUUGGCUGGGCACAAAAGGAAACUGACCGGGACUCACCUGGGUCACGGCUGCCACCCUGCGGACAGGAAGCUUGGAAGGUGUAUUUUUGUUUUUACCUGCAUGUCUGCAUCAAGUGCGUGCAGUGCCUGUGGAAGCUGAAAGAGGUCGGACGCAUUGGAACUGGAGUUACAGAUUGUUGUGAGCCACCAAGUGGGUGUUGGAUUUCCAGUUAGCACCAUGGCUCAGUGGGUAGAGAAGCUGAAAAGCCUGGUCAUCUGAGUCUGAUCCCUGGAACCCACAUAAAGCGGAAGGAAGGAAUCCAGUGCACAGAACCGUCCUCUCACUUCCACACGAGUGAUUUUGGCCCCCGCGUGUGCACACACACUGCGUUUACAUACACAACAAUAAGUAAAUCAGCUAUAGUUCUUAGAGACGGCUUAAUAUGUGGUCCAUCUUUGUGAAGGUCCA
rnacentral:sRNA from 1 species